rnacentral:rRNA from 1 species
AAUGAACGCUGGCGGCAGGCUUAACACAUGCAAGUCGAGCGCAUCCUUCGGGGUGAGCGGCAGACGGGUGAGUAACGCGUGGGAAACUACCUUUUGCUACGGAAUAGCGUCGGGAAACUGGAAUUAAUACCGUAUGUGCUCUUAGGUGGAAAGAUUUAUCGGCAAGAGAUGAGCCCGCGUUGGAUUAGCUAGUUGGUGGGGUAAAGGCCUACCAAGGCGACGAUCCAUAGCUGGUCUGAGAGGAUGAUCAGCCACAUUGGGACUGAGACACGGCCCAAACUCCUACGGGAGGCAGCAGUGGGGAAUAUUGGACAAUGGGCGCAAGCCUGAUCCAGCCAUGCCGCGUGAGUGAUGAAGGCCUUAGGGUUGUAAAGCUCUUUCACCGGAGAAGAUAAUGACGGUAUCCGGAGAAGAAGCCCCGGCUAACUUCGUG